UUAAGGAACCAGGGAAUGGCGUUCUCCCCAACUACUCAACAUGGGGACGUGAUGGAUGGACAAUUCCCCAUGAUCGAAAUACUGAACCCCCAGGAUGGCAGUCCAGCAUACGUUUUCCGUGCAUGGAGACCCAGUGACAUUAAGGACAUAGCGGAAUGGCUCCCAGACCCAGCUGCAGUGGGAGGGGCUGCCUUCGCCACAGCCCUUCAAGAGUUGGUCCAACAACACAAGGCAUCCAUCAGCGAAGUGCGCCAACUCUGUGCGUACAGACUGACCCUAAGGUGGGGUCGUAUCCAAGGCGACAUGCCCGGGAGGGACGAAGCUGAUUUAAUGUUCAAUUGGGAUCAAGGGUCCGUGUACCGGCGGCUGGUAGAGGGACUGUGUGAACGGGCCAGGGGGGCGUUCCCCAUGGUUAGAGAUUGGCUAUUCGAAAAAUCGAACAAAUAGAAGGCGAGACGGUGGCUGACUUGAUGGACCCCGUUGAAAAGGUGUUCAAGAUCCACGGGGGAGUGCCUGUAACAACCGACCGAGUGGUUCAGACUCCGUACGAAGAAAAUCUCACCGCGGCCUUCCUGGAUGCGUUGACCGACAAAAUAUCGGAAUUCAUAGAGACACACUGCAUUGGGUGGCGUACCGCCAGACUUGAUUUGAUUGUAAGCCACGCGACCCACGCAGAAAACCUCUUCAAGAAGAAAGAAAAGUUCGGGAAGAAUAGAAAAGAAGCGAUAACCGAAAAGCUCCAGCUCGCCCAACUGGAGGCCCUGGAGAAUCCUAAGCCCAACCGUCGUGACAAAGACCAAAGAACCGACCGGCCAGAAGGGCGAAAGUCCCGUGGAUUAAUCAACCGGGACUGUUUGUAUUGUGGCUCCAAGGAUCAUUGGUUAAAAGAUUGUCCCAUUAGAAAUGAGGAAAACGAUGAAGCGGACGACUGGGAAACCGCCCCUUCCCGUGAAGUGACUGUGAAUCAUCCAAGAGGCAAAGGUGAAGGGGGGAUUUCGCAUUGACGGGACGCAGGAGCAGGACAGGUCCAAGGGGUAUGAGCACCAUAACACAUAACACAAACACGCAAAAUGGUCUCAACGUCACAACGCACGCAAGCACCACAUCCAAAUGAUUGUUGUAUGGUUCUCACCAGCCUUACGCGACCUGAUCAGCUAAAUGUAAUAUUAUAUAUGGUUAUUAUAUAUAUAUAUAUUAGAUAUGGUUAUUUUAAACAACGGGCUAUUGUAGACAGUGGACACUCGAUUAUUACAAUCUAACACAACCAUUUUAAUGGUCAACCAUAAACCAUGACAUGACUCCAACUGACCCACACUAACCCCGACUGACCCCCGACUGACAACGUGACGGGGACAACAGAAGUGUAUUGCCUAAUAUUGAAAAUGCAGAUUUUUAUAUUAUGAUAUUUUGUUAAUGUUUUAUGGCCAAAAUGGCAACAAGGUGAAUUAAUGAACGUAUGAGAGAGAUUGGAAGAAGUAUGUGUUAUGGAAGGAGAAGAGAUAGAUGAGAACGUAAGGCAAGACAGGAUAAGGAAAGGGGUGGGGAGAAAGAUAACCCAUCUGCAUCAAGUUUUGUUCUAAUAGAUCCGGACCUGGACAACGCUCCUCCUUCUCCUGCUUUCAGCCCGACCAGUGGCCCAAUACAGUGCAAAUACCCCACGUCACGACUCCUCUUCAUCAGACUUUAUGAAGUUACAGACCAUGGGAGGCCCACCUGAAGAGCUACGGAACGGUCUGCUGGACGACACAAGGAGACAGUCCAGCAGGACCAACAGCACCAGAGUGGUGGCCUCCAUGGUGCCUGUGUAGCCACAAGGAAGUGGCCUGAACAUUGAGACAAAGGAGGGUCUCAGAGACGGGAGAGACGUGGGGACAGGCACUUCAAAGGACAGCCCGUGAUGCGGAUGCGAGGCAGGAAGCAGAGAGAGAGGUGGAGGCGUGUCCAGGCGGAGGGAGAGAAGAGCAGUGUACGGAAAGUAUCGCACUAGACACAGCAUUCACGUAUAUUACAAGAGACGAGAUCUAAUGUGUAACUAGGACUGUAUAUGAGUGUGUGAUAGUUUCUAAGAAGUAUAUCUGAAAGGUUUGAAAGUUAUUAAGAAAAGUAGUUUGAAGGAUCAAAGACAAGUAGAAAAGUUGAAAGUUAAAGAAAUGUUUUUAAAAAAGGUAGCCUUGUUUCUUAGUUUUAGUUUAUUUUUAUUUAUUUUUGUUUUUUACUUUUUUAUGACUUUUGAAUAUAUGGAAACAGAUGACUUGAUUGUGAUGUUAGGUGAUUUUAUGCUACCUUCUGUAAAAGCGAACGGUGGUAUAAAUAUCUGUACUUGGAGGCCAUGGUUGGACAUAGUAGAUUAUGAACAUAUGCAUGUAUUGAUUAAGUGAUCAUUUUAAUCCUAAAGGUUGCAUCAUUUUUGUGAUUAUAAAUAAUCAAAGGGGGGAGUGUGAUGGAAAAUUCACAUGUUGUAUUGUUUUGGUCUAUGUAUGAAUUUAAGUUUUGUUGCUAUUCUGUGUAAUUUAAGAUAGGGCCUACGUUCUACUCCAUGCGGGUCAUUUAAAGUGUAAACCGUCAAGGGUUGAGUGAUGCAUUUUUAUUGCCUGCCCUUUCCUAUGUUUCUUGUCUUGUAAAACACCCUCCAUGCAAUCCUUUGAUGUGUGGGCCCGUUUUCUCGACCCCCUGGCUAGCGUCAACAAAGCCAGGGGGUCGAUGACACGGCCGCUGCCCCCUCCAAUGGCAUUCCCCACAGCUGCAGUUGUAAAGAUAACCAUCUGGUACACAAAGGCUUUUGGUAUUGGGGG
ensembl:lncRNA